AUGGUAUCUUGCGAUCAGUUAGAUAACUCUUCCUCAUGUUCUUUUCUAUCCGCAGGACUACAAAUGAAGAUGAUGCUGGGAUCGCAGGUCUUAUCACUUUUACUCAUUUUUAUCCUCGUCGCAAAUGAGGCAGCGCAUAUUCCUGAACCUACUCUCACGGAGGAAAUCCAAAAGGAUGCCGUCUUCCCAAGAAGUUCAGAAAUGGCGUUUUUCGGUCUUUUUAACCAUUCAUGGUCGAUCGGCGUUUCUUGUGACGACGAAACUCUGAAGUACCAGGCAGUAAUCAGCUCCGAAACUGUCUCGCGAGUGACAUUUCCUCAAAACGACACACAGAGUGACAAAAUCAUCAACCGUUGCGAGUUCGUGGACAAACUGGCUAAGUUUUGGGGCGGUUACGUGUACAUCGAGGACGGAAUUCCUCCGUUCACCACAACCAUUACAGUCGCCAUUAUUCCUCAAUCAUACUACGGAUCAUUCAAAUUCCUAAUUAAAUGUUACGUUGUCGAUUCGCUUAUGACGAGUGGAUGUCUUCCAAUUUCAAAUGAUCUUGUAAUGGCACGGAAAGAUGAAGGCAAACUAAGGCGUGGCAAAAGUUGAAGGUCUAAGACAACCAGGGGGAGGGGGCGUACACCGAGAGAAAAACUUUGGCUUAUAUGGAACAUACAUGCUUUUAGUCUAGGUAACUGAAGUGUUCGGUCAUAGAGACCUAAUGCCACAUCAGAUAACUGUUUAUCGUUAUUCACACUAAAAAUUCCGGCUGUUUAAACCUGAGUCCGGUACGAGCGACCGAAAACUUCAGUUGCGGGGAUCGAAAACUUCAACGUUCCACAUAUGAAUUGAAUAAAAUCAGUUCUUGUGACCGAAGUUUUUUUAUUCGGUGUACAGCGGAGAGCGGAAAUAACGGGAUCCUUAACGCAAUAACGCAUCCUUGUCUCUCUCAGAGAAUAAACCAAGCUUAAAUUCUCACAGUUCAAAGUUUCUUAAAAGUUCCAAGACACAGGAGAUAUAAUGAGCUUGAAUUUCACCUCGUUGCACAUUAAUUUAAGUUUUUGGACUCGAGAUAGUUGUUGAACUGUUAGCUGAUUAUGGUUCCUCCUUAAUAAAAGUCUAUGAGUCGGCGGCAUCACUCCUAUAAGAAAGUCAAAAAUUGUGGAAAGCUAGACAUAGUUUAAAAUUAAUUUACUGAAAGCAUAUUUGGCCAGCAUCGGAUGGUCCCGUUGUUUAAUUUCACGUAAUCAUAUGUCAAAAGCCCUGGAAUAGGAGAUUUAGUAGAAGGGGGAAUAGAAGAAAAUUGAUGGAACAUGGGCACCGCUCUCCUGAGGAGUUUGUCUCGCAUCACAAUUUUCAAGGAACGUUUAGAAAUUAUGGCCGCAGUGUGUGGGAGUUAGAGUGCAAAAGGUUUAGAAUAAACUUAAGAGGUUUGAGCCGAUUUGGCUGAUAGAAGCCUACAAGCGUUAGUUAAAAUACUCAAUUUGGUUGGUUGGAAAUGUUACUUGUACAUUUUGAAAUAUACGUGAUCAAAAAUUGUUGACUCGUUUCCUUUUUUCCUCAUAUAUAAUCGAGAAAUACCAUUUAAAACUAGGUAAAACUUACUUCAGUUGCUAACUAUUGGUCGAAUUACUCCGAGAAAAGAUUAUUCGUACCUGAAUUCGUUCCUGAAACAGAAAAAGAAGAAAAGUAAAAAUUUAUGUUUUAAUGUUUUAGGCAAGUCUCGUUUAUUUACAUAAGAUAUACAAGCAAUGGAGGUGCAUGAGGAUAUUAAUUUAUUCGAUAUUUGUGGGAGAAAUUAUAGCUUCAGACAAAUUCCAUCAACGUUUAAAAAGUAUAAUUCUCAAAAAAUUCUUAUACAUCUUGCUACAAAUUUUGAAUAUUAGCUACUCGCCUAUUCUCUCGUACUAAGAAAAAACGGCGUAAGAGCAUUCGGGCAAUGCGACACUUUCCCCCAUAAAAUAUUUACCUUUGAGAAAACUCAUGUAAAUAUUUAUACUUGAAAUUUUCUGAUAUUUCAAUUUAAAUUGCGAUCAAAUUUGUUUGAAAAAUUGAAAGAAAAACAUUCACAAAUUUCCAAGUAAAUAUCUCUUUUUAGGAGGAAAUUUUGCAACGUUUGAAGACUCAUGCUGUGCUCUUCAGGCACGGAAGCAUUGAUUUAACCAAUUGGACUUCUGGCAAUUAUUAGGAACUAUUUCUGGCUCAUCCGUAAAAUCAUGUAAGUGCACAGGGAAAAUAAUGGUGCAUACGUUGUUUCUAAUCUGAGCCGGAAAUUGUAGGUCCUAAUUGAAAAUUUUAAUCCUAUUAUUGCCUCUAGCAGAGCAUCGGUCUGCCACCUACAAGAUUGGCCGCCAUCACGCCUGAACUUUCUUGAGUUUUCGAGAGCCUCUUUUUUCAAAAUUCUGGGGCACUCGAGUUGACAAACACAUGUACGACAUGAAUCAAAAUAAAAUAUGAAAAUCGAUGAAACUUUUUCCUAUCAUCAAUUAAUCUUUCUAGUUUUAAUCCCAAAUGUUGUAAACCCUUCUGUCCCAUAAUUCCAAAAUUCAAAACAAGAAAAUUUUUGACCAGGAAGCCUCAUAACAGUAGAUCCGAUAGAUUUUUUUUGAGCCGGUGACCCCGAGAAAAUUUUAGCUCCUAAAAUUGAUGUCUACGUUGCCAAUCUUCACAUAAAUAACUAUCCAAUUUGCAUGGGGUAAUGAAGUGAAAUUCUGGAGAUUUGCCUUAAAAGCUGGCAACGCAACCGCAAAUCCCGACGAGAAAGGCAAUUGGCGAGGGUUAAUUAUGUAAAUAUUGAACAACGCGAGCCUAACCUUGCUAUCCAAAAAUUAAAUUUCAACCCCAUGUUUGUCUCGCCAUCAAACAAAAUGGGGGGGAGGGGGGGGGGGUGCGUUAAGUCGCCAUUUUCGAAGACAGUCGUGGAAACGAUCCCGGAGUAACUUGCGCUUUGUUCAUAAUUGGCAUCGCUCCGUUGUUUCUUUUAUGACUGUCUCUCGUGCUGGUCUUGUUGAAUAUGUUGCCAAAUCGUCAUGGAGGAAAGCUUUUUUUCUCAUUUUCGGACAUUUUAGCAAGUCAAUGAAACUUUCUGGAAUGAAAGCAUAAUGACUAACUAAAUUCUACUUGAGGUGGCAUUUGGUGUAGGCUUUAAAGCGUUGCUGAAUUAUUCUUUACUGAAAUACUGAAAAUUUAAAGGUCUCGAUUAAUGGGUCAAUGCAUACCAAAUCAACAGACUCUUUUUUCGGCAUGCAGGCUAUACCUAGAUGCAUAACAUAAGCACAGGCCAGGAAAGCAAAAAUGGAACUCUAAAAGCUAUGAUUUGGAAAUCACUGUUUGAGGAUUCGACGUUAAUAUGUAGCUGAACGAAGCCUUUGUCGGAAAUUUCAACAUCAUCAAUUUGACAAAAUCACUGAUCUCGUUGACUUGCUAUGGUAUCCGAAAAGCGGACCAGUUUCAAGGAGGCUCCUACCUGUUUUUAACAUGAAUUGAACACUUUUGCAAUCAAUAAUUUUACCCUCGAUUGAGGCGUUCGGUGCACCGAGAACACUUCUCCGUUGCGAUAUUGCAGAGUCUCCGUUGCUAAUUUAAGUUCCACACUUUCGAAGUGAAAAAAAUUGUCUGAUUUCUUGUUUAAAAAUUUACGUUCAGUGCGUUAUAAAAUCAUAAAGAAUAGCUUUAAUCAUAAUGCAUGAAACGAUAGCGGAGAUUCUGAGAAACCACAAUCCAGAAGUGCUCCUUUUUUCCAUCCAGCAAUUCAAUUUUGUCCAGAAUUUUCCAAUUUUUUUUCAAUUUUUUUUUUCAUUUAUUUAUCAAAUUAUUUUGUCAAGUACCUAGAUCCAGUGUGGGAUUUUCAUAGAUUUAUUCACAAAACUGGCAACUCUCAUUCAGACUCCAGGCCCCAGGGACGGCUUUAUCUUCUUUGCUGCCGAGGUAAGGAAAAACGCAUUAAGAACCUUCAGGCGUCUCCAAA
rnacentral:lncRNA from 1 species